rnacentral:rRNA from 1 species
UCUGGCCUCAAAUCAGGUAGGACUACCCGCUGAACUUAAGCUUCUUUUGCU